rnacentral:rRNA from 1 species
AUUGAACGCUGGCGGCAUGCCUUACACAUGCAAGUCGAACGGCAGCACGGGAGCAAUCCUGGUGGCGAGUGGCGAACGGGUGAGUAAUGUAUCGGAACGUACCUUUCAGUGGGGGAUAACGUAGCGAAAGUUACGCUAAUACCGCAUAUUCUGUGAGCAGGAAAGCAGGGGAUCGCAAGACCUUGCGCUGAUUGAGCGGCCGAUAUCAGAUUAGCUAGUUGGUGAGGUAAAGGCUCACCAAGGCGACGAUCUGUAGCGGGUCUGAGAGGAUGAUCCGCCACACUGGAACUGAGACACGGUCCAGACUCCUACGGGAGGCAGCAGUGGGGAAUUUUGGACAAUGGGCGCAAGCCUGAUCCAGCCAUGCCGCGUGAGUGAAGAAGGCCUCGGUUGUAAAGNUCUUCUAGCCGGAGAAACGACGAUGGUUAAGUAACCUCGUGUGGAGUGACGGUACCGGAAGU